UUGAGAACUUCUUCAUCCUCAAUAGCAGCUAACUGCUCGCUGGUCAGUGGCCCGCCGUCAGUCUUCGACUCCAUUUCUGAUGGGCCUUGGCGUGCAUCCAGGUAGCUGACGAUAAACUCGGAGUUUUGAUAGAUGAGCAUGCCGGACAACGUCAGCACAGCG